rnacentral:lncRNA from 1 species
AGAACUGCAGUUCCCUCAAGAUCCAUGGAACAGCAGACUCUGGAAAUACAUCCCCUUUCUCCAGGGAAACAUGGAAAUGGGUAUCACCUGCACUGAGGUUUUUUUGCUCAGUUUGAGACUCCUGCAAAGGAGUUAGGUAAUACAGCUCCUGGCAUUUCUCAGCAUUUACCAGAGUGGUGUUUUCUAUUGCAGCAGAACCCAAACUGCACCUGUAAUUUAUUUAGCUCUCCAAGAAUGGCUGUUGAUGGGCAGGAAAGAAGAAAGGCCUGUAGGUAGUUCAGAUUGGCAAUAAAAACAGAAUGGAUAAUUCUCAUAAACUUCUGCUGGUAAACACAUAAUUCAGACCUGAAGCUCAUUUCCAGGUCUUUCAUAAUUCAGAAAACCCCCAUAUUGGAGACUUAGAGGUUGGCAUACCAAGUGUGCUGAAGGUGACUUGUCUAAUCUGCAGCAGCUGGAACACCCCGCCAUCUCCACAAAAUGAUUUCCUGCCAUUUUCAAAUGAAGCUUAUGGAGACAGCUGUUCUUCUGUCAGAAGUGGCACAUGGCACCAUGGAUUUUGUCAAGGAGCAGCCUCCUCUGGGGCUUUAUGUGAAUCACUCGCUAAAAGAGCAUUAGGGCUUAGGAGGCCCAUUUUGGAUUCAGAGCAGCACCUUGAGGUGUUUCUCUCUGGACUUCUGAAAUCCACCUCCAUCCUUCCCCAGGUCUCCCCAAAACAGCAGUGCUGAGAAUUACCUCUGUGCACUGGUAGGAAAACCCACACAGUGGCUCUUGUGGCUGACAUUCCCCUGGACCUUCAGCAUGUGAGAUAAUGCAAGAUGUGUGCUCUCUUUAGGUGUCUAAGGUAACAGAAAGAGAUUAUGUUAAGUGCUUGGUAAGAGGCAUUUUCCAUUUGCAACAUUCAACUUCAUUUAGCUGUAAUGCAUGAAAAAAUUGACCCACGUGGGUCUUGAUCUAGCCAUUUAAUUCUACCCCUGAAGUGUGAAUGCUAUGAGCAUCAUGGAUUUUGGCACUGUUGACAUUUCUUUUAAGCAAAUGACAGUUUGAAAGGAUGGGAGUGUAUCCUUUUAUCACUGCAACAGAUAAAUACACUACAGAGUGAUUGAAACAGCUUUACACACUGGCAAGUGACAGAAGAGAAAGUGGUGGGGAAAAAAGGCACAAAAGGCAAGACCAAUUUAAAUAAAAAAAUGAAGCACAAAACA